rnacentral:rRNA from 1 species
AGUGAACGCUGGCGGUAGGCCUAACACAUGCAAGUCGAACGGCAGCACAGUAAGAGCUUGCUCUUACGGGUGGCGAGUGGCGGACGGGUGAGGAAUACAUCGGAAUCUACUUUUUCGUGGGGGAUAACGUAGGGAAACUUACGCUAAUACCGCAUACGACCUACGGGUGAAAGCAGGGGAUCUUCGGACCUUGCGCGAUUGAAUGAGCCGAUGUCGGAUUAGCUAGUUGGCGGGGUAAAGGCCCACCAAGGCGACGAUCCGUAGCUGGUCUGAGAGGAUGAGAAGCCACACUGGAAAUGAGACACAGUCCAGACUCCUACGGGAGGCAGCAGUGGGGAAUAUUAGACAAUGGGCGCAAGCCUGAUCCAGCCAAACCGCGUGAGUGAAGAAGGACUUCGGGUUGUAAAGCCCUUUUGUUGGGAAAGAAAAGCAGCAAGUUAAUACCCCGCUGUUCUGACGGUACCCAAAGAAUAAGCACCGGCUAACUUCGUG